AGAGAACGCUCUUGACCGACGUCAACUGAAUGCGUGAGUGGUCAUUACGUCAGCACGUCGUGUUCGAACGUAUCGGCGGGGUACCAAGAAGCAGCAAACUGAAGAAAAGUUGCCUUCUGGUCGACCCUGUUUAGUAAUUUAAAAAAAAGAAAUUUCGGGGAGAAAAACGACUCUUUUAUUAUCUGUCAUUUAUUGAAUGGCAUUCGAUUUCAGUUUGGUGUAUUUAUCUGAACUCAACAGACACGGCUUUCAUCGUGAUAUUCCUUGACUGCCAUGACCUGCAAACUGAGUGGCCUGUUCAGCCUGGACGAGGACUUUGAUGAUGAGGAUGUGCUGGGGACAGACUGGAGUCCCUGCUCGGUGGCAGGGCCAUCCAAAGCGGCAGCUGCCAUGUCAUCCUGUAGCCUGCGGGCUUCUUCUGUUUCUCACAGAGACCAGGAGAAAACGUGCCAUCAGCCAUCGGGAGAGAAACUGGCUGAACUGUGCAAUGGCACAGUAUCAGGGAGCGCCGUGCACAGUGGUGCUGCACAAACUGUUGCUCAGAGUUUGAGGCAGAUUUCCUCUUCCUCUAACACAGCCUGCACAGCUCAGGAUGAUUUUGAUGACUGGGAUGUUGACCUGGCAGACCUGGAUGAAUGUGACAGCCAAACAAGGCAACUUUCUACACCUGCAGCAGCUGAGCCUCCGUCUUCAGUGAAAACACUGAGACCUUCUACUUAUGUCUCGAUACAAACGCUUCCUCCUCGGAGCCUGCGGGACACUUCUAGCUACUGUAGUUAUAUUGCAGCUCCACAGAGUCUUUCUUCUGCACAUCUGCAGCCUCCGACUACCAGUCGUGCUUCAUUCCCUGCAGCUCCUCCACAGACUCCCAGCAGCUUUUCCAGGACUCCCAGCCACCCUCAGCAGCUACAGAAGCCAUGGAUGACUCCACAAGCCGCCUCUCAGGCUCGGAGUCUCUUUAAUACCGUCUCCCCAGGGCCUCCCGCCUCUGUGAACUCCUCCGCCUUGAGCCCACAUCCUCUGCACACACCGUUCCUCACCAACCGCCUGGUCCAGCUGGUGUCUGCGUCCAGCAAACUUCCCAGAAAGAGGCAGCGCUCCGAAGCGCACCAACCCCAAACGAGACGCUUCCCUGGUCCUGCAGGACUGCUGCCUCAGCAGCCUCAGGGGCAGAAUCUGGACGAGAUCGUGGUUUCCGUUCCUAACACUCCUUCUCAUGGGGCUGUGGCUCGACUACCGAGUCAGUGUUCCAGCUCGCAGUCUGAGGAAGAGGAGUUCAGCGGCCGCGCCUGGGCGGCGAUGAAGGCUGAGAUGGGACUGGAUGAGAGGAAUCCGUCGUGCUUCCUGCACACCUACAGCGUCGUCAUGGUGCUCCGAAAGGCUGCUCUAAAACAACUACCCAGAAACAAAGUGCCCAACAUGGCCGUUCUGCUGAAGAGCAUCAUCCACACGAACGCCGACGCUAAAGCUGUUUUUAAAGACCCAACAGGGGAGAUUCAGGGGACGGUGCAUCGGCGUCUCUUAGAAGAAAGAUGUGAGGAGUUAAAAGCCGGAGCUGUGCUGCUCCUCAAGCAGGUGGGUGUUUUUUCUCCAUCCCAUCGCAACCACUACCUGAAUGUGACGCCCAACAACCUGCUGCGGAUCUACUCUCCUGCUGGGGUCAGUCUGUCCACUCAGCUCCCCCUGUUUGUCUUGGAGCCAACGGUGUCGUCACCGGCCCCGGCUCCAGGCGUCCCUCGGGAGCCGGUGUCUCGGAUGCAGCUGGAGUUUGACGAGGAGGAUGACGAAGGGAGAAAGGACAGAGGACGCGCAGAGGGAGGCGAGGCCCCUCGAGUGCAACGGCUUAGUCAGGGGAACAAAUCGGUUAACGGCAGCAGGAAUCCAGGAGAGCAGGAACAAGUCUGGGAUGCAGAUGACGACCUGGACGAACUGCUGGGAGAGAUACAGGAGGACGUCUACAGCUUUUGACAUCUCGAUCCUUAAAAUCACUUUUCAAAGAACUUGUAACUAAAUAUGUAUAUUUUAUGUUUACCUUUUUUCUUUUUGCAGACAAUAACGCCUGUAUUUAAUUUAGUUGACAUUCCAGAAGAGACUUAUGUAUCACUGAUUCUUGAAGAAAUUUCACUACAUCAUCUUUGCUUAUAUGACAGACAGAAGAUUGUUCUGUGAUGUCCCCUGAAUGUCCCUUCCAGGGGUUUGUUGACGGAGAGGCGUUUACCCAGUCCUGUCUGCAUCAGGGUGGAGCCUCACUGUGACUAACGUGCUCUUGUGGAGGGAUUUCCUCCUCACGCUCCGAGUCCUGCACUAUGUCUGGCUCACUGUAGCAGAUUCAGGUUAAUCCUCAGCUGCUUUGUCGUUCCAAGGAAGGAGAAGCAGCUUAAGUGUCCUAUUUAAUGUUUAAGAGGGAGAGGAAUUGGAUGAUAAAAUGUGUCUAGUCUGUAGUAUAUGUUCUUUGUUGGAAGGUGUUUGUACAUUUAAACGCUUUCUGUGUCUUAUGAAAAUACAAAGACUUUCAGUGUGA